UAACCUGCCCAAGAGAUCGGGAUAACACCUGGAAACAGAUGCUAAUACCGGAUAACAACAGAUGAUGCCUAUCAACUGUUUAAAAGAUGGUUCUGCUAUCACUCUUGGAUGGACCUGCGGUGCAUUAGCUAGUUGGUAGGGUAACGGCCUACCAAGGCGAUGAUGCAUAGCCGAGUUGAGAGACUGAUCGGCCACAUUGGGACUGAGACACGGCCCAAAUCCUACGGGAGGCAGCAGUU
rnacentral:rRNA from 1 species